AACUGAAGAGUUUGAUCAUGGCUCAGAUUGAACGCUGGCGGCAGGCCUAACACAUGCAAGUCGAACGCGAAAAUUCCUUCGGGAAUGAGUAGAGUGGCGGACGGGUGAGUAACGCGUGGGAAUCUACCUGGUAGCGGGGGAUAACUCGGGGAAACUCGAGCUAAUACCGCAUACGCCCUACGGGGGAAAGGAGGGGAUCUUCGGACCUUUCACUAUCAGAUGAGCCCGCGUUAGAUUAGCUUGUUGGUGAGGUAAUGGCUCACCAAGGCGACGAUCUAUAGCUGGUCUGAGAGGAUGAUCAGCCACACUGGGACUGAGACACGGCCCAGACUCCU
rnacentral:rRNA from 1 species